GGGGACGCGUGGGUUCGACAGGGGGUGUCUUUGCGGGAUUGCAGGUCGAGGCGCCAUCUACCUCGUAAAAAGGUGGCAAACAAUUAACUGGCGAUAAACAGCUAGCACUAGCCGCCUAAGGUGGCUACGUCCACCGUCACCUAUCUCCGAGGGGGGCGACUGGGCGACAUAAAUCGGAGUGCUGCCGCGCCGAUGCCGAUGAGCGUGGCUCAAGACCUUCGGCUGGCUCCACCGCAUCCCCACGCUGGUAAGGGCGCGACGGAGCGAGAACAAAAUACCGGCUAAGCCUGUAGUAUAUCUCGAUCAAGGAAUCUUCUGGACGGGGAGUUCGACCCUCCCCCGUCUCCACCA
rnacentral:tmRNA from 1 species